GAAGUAAAAGUCGUAACAAGGUUUCCGUAGGUGAACCUGCGGAAGGAUCAUUACCAAAACCCUGGUUGUCCCGCUGAAAAGCUCGACGCCUGAACCCCUUGUGAACCAAAACAACCUUUCGCUUCGGCAGCAGCAGCGGUCUGGGUACCCUCCCAGCCCGCGGCUUAAGCCUGCCGGUGGCACCACACAACCAAACUUGCAAACUAAAAACCUGUCUGACAACCAUAUUUUCGAAUGAAAAUUAAAACUUUCAACAACGGAUCUCUUGGUUCCCGCAUCGAUGAAGAACGCAGCGAAACGCGAUAGUUAAUGUGAAUUGCAGAAUUCAGUGAAUCAUCGAGUCUUUGAACGCACAUUGCGCCCAUCGGUAUUCCGUUGGGCAUGUCUGUUUGAGCGUCAUUACAACCCUCGGCACCAGUCGGUCGUGAGCUCCGCCGGGCGUGACAGCCCGGUUGGCUUUAAAGUUGUAAGCUCUGCUGGCCUCCGCGCCCAACCGAGACAUAGUAAGCCUACUUGUCAGAGGUGAGCGCGGUUUGGUUCGGCCUGAACAAAACCUACCACAUUCUAAGGUUUGACCUCAGAUCAGACAAGGAUACCCGCUGAACUUAAGCAUAUCAAUAAGCGGAGGAAAAGAAACCAACAGGGAUUGCCUCAGUAACGGCGAGUGAAGCGGCAACAGCUCAAAUUUGAAAUCUGGAGCCCUCGGCUUCCGAGUUGUAAUUUGAAGAGGAUGUUUCGGUCGUGGCCUGGGCCUAAGUUCCUUGGAACAGGACGUCAUUGAGGGUGAGAAUCCCGUACAUGGCUCCCGGCUUGCGAUCAUGUGAAGCUCCUUCGAAGAGUCGAGUUGUUUGGGAAUGCAGCUCAAAAUGGGUGGUAAAUUUCAUCUAAAGCUAAAUAUUGGCGGGAGACCGAUAGCGCACAAGUAGAGUGAUCGAAAGAUGAAAAGCACUUUGAAAAGAGAGUUAAACAGUACGUGAAAUUGUUGAAAGGGAAGCGCUUGCAAUCAGACUCGCUUGCGGUUGAUCAACGUUCCUUCUGGUGCGUGCACUCUGCCGUUGGCGGGCCAGCAUCGGUUGGGGCGGCGGGACAAAGGCGGCGGGAAUGUGGCUCCCCUCGGGGAGUGUUAUAGCCCGCUGUGUAAUGCCGCCAGCCCCGAUCGAGGUCCGCGGUUCGCCUAGGAUGCUGGCUUAAUGGUUGCAAGCGACCCGUCUUGAAACACGGACCAAGGAGUCUAACAUCUAUGCGAGUCUUUGGGUGUCAAACCCAUGGGCGAAAUGAAAGUGAACGGAGGUGGGAGUCCUCGGAUGCACCAUCGACCGAUCCUGAUGUUCUCGGAUGGAUUUGAGUAGGAGCAUAGCUGUUGGGACCCGAAAGAUGGUGAACUAUGCCUGAAUAGGGUGAAGCCAGAGGAAACUCUGGUGGAGGCUCGCAGCGGUUCUGACGUGCAAAUCGAUCGUCAAAUUUGGGUAUAGGGGCGAAAGACUAAUCG
rnacentral:rRNA from 1 species